UACGUAGGAGGCAAGCGUUAUCCGGAAUGACUGGGCGUAAAGGGUGCGUAGGUGGUUUGGCAAGUUGGUAGCGUAAUCCCGGGGCUUAACUUCGGUGCUACUACCAAAACUGCUGGGCUUGAGUGCAGGAGGGGCAUAUGGAAUUCCUAGUGUAGCGGUGGAAUGCGUAGAUAUUAGGAGGAACACCAGUGGCGAAGGCGAUAUGCUGGACUGUAACUGACACUGAGGCACGAAAGCGUGGGGAGCAAACAGG
rnacentral:rRNA from 1 species